UACGAAGGGGGCUAGCGUUGCUCGGAAUCACUGGGCGUAAAGCGCACGUAGGCGGCUUUCUAAGUCAGAGGUGAAAUCCUGGAGCUCAACUCCAGAACUGCCUUUGAUACUGGAGAGCUCGAGUCCGGAAGAGGUGAGUGGAACUCCGAGUGUAGAGGUGAAAUUCGUAGAUAUUCGGAAGAACACCAGUGGCGAAGGCGGCUCACUGGUCCGGUACUGACGCUCAUGCACGAAAGCCGUGGGGAGCAAACAGG
rnacentral:rRNA from 1 species